rnacentral:rRNA from 1 species
GACACUCCUGCGGGAGGCAGCAGUGGGGAAUAUUGCACAAUGGGCGCAAGCCUGAUGCAGCCAUGCCGCGUGUAUGAAGAAGGCCUUCGGGUUGUAAAGUACUUUCAGCGGGGAGGAAGGCGAUAAGGUUAAUAACCUUGUUGAUUGACGUUACCCGCAGAAGAAGCACCGGCUAACUCCGUGCCAGCAGCCGCGGUAAUACGGAGGGUGCAAGCGUUAAUCGGAAUUACUGGGCGUAAAGCGCACGCAGGCGGUCUGUCAAGUCGGAUGUGAAAUCCCCGGGCUCAACCUGGGAACUGCAUUCGAAACUGGCAGGCUAGAGUCUUGUAGAGGGGGGUAGAAUUCCAGGUGUAGCGGUGAAAUGCGUAGAGAUCUGGAGGAAUACCGGUGGCGAAGGCGGCCCCCUGGACAAAGACUGACGCUCAGGUGCGAAAGCGUGGGGAGCAAACAGGAUUAGAAACCCCGGUAGUCCC